rnacentral:rRNA from 1 species
CGGCGGACGGGUGAGUAAUGCCUAGGAAUCUGCCUGGUAGUGGGGGACAACGUUUCGAAAGGAACGCUAAUACCGCAUACGUCCUACGGGAGAAAGCAGGGACCUUCGGGCCUUGCGCUAUCAGAUGAGCCUAGGUCGGAUUAGCUAGUUGGUGAGGUAAUGGCUCACCAAGGCGACGAUCCGUAACUGGUCUGAGAGGAUGACCAGUCACACUGGAACUGAGACACGGUCCAGACUCCUACGGGAGGCAGCAGCC